rnacentral:rRNA from 1 species
UACGGGGGGAGCAAGCGUUGUUCGGAUUUACUGGGCGUAAAGGGCGCGUAGGCGGCCAGCACAAGUCAGUUGUGAAAUCUCCGAGCUUAACUCGGAAAGGUCAACUGAUACUGUGCGGCUAGAGUGCAGAAGGGGCAACUGGAAUUCUCGGUGUAGCGGUGAAAUGCGUAGAUAUUCGGAAGAACACCAGUGGCGAAGGCGGCUCACUGGUCCGGUACUGACGCUGAGGUGCGAAAGCGUGGGGAGCAAACAGG